rnacentral:rRNA from 1 species
UACGUAGGUGACAAGCGUUGUCCGGAUUUACUGGGCGUAAAGAGCGCGCAGGCGGUCGAUCAAGUCGAGUGUGAAAGCCCCCGGCUCAACUGGGGAGGGUCAUUCGAUACUGAUCGACUCGAAGGCAGGAGAGGGUAGUGGAAUUCCCGGUGUAGUGGUGAAAUGCGUAGAUAUCGGGAGGAACACCAGUGGCGAAGGCGGCGACCUGGGUCGAGACUGACGCUGAGGCGCGAAAGCGUGGGGAGCAAACAGG